CGAAAUACUAUCGACGAAUAACACUUAUGAAGAAAUGUAAUACGUCGUUGGUGUUUCCAU
rnacentral:pre_miRNA from 1 species